rnacentral:rRNA from 1 species
UUAGUGGCGCACGGGUGCGUAACGCGUGGGAACCUGCCCUUAGGUUCGGAAUAACUCAGAGAAAUUUGAGCUAAUACCGGAUAAUGUCUUCGGACCAAAGAUUUAUCGCCUUUGGAUGGGCCCGCGUAGGAUUAGGUAGUUGGUGGGGUAAAGGCCUACCAAGCCGACGAUCCUUAGCUGGUCUGAGAGGAUGAUCAGCCACACUGGGACUGAGACACGGCCCAGACUCCUACGGGAGGCAGCAGUGGGGAAUAUUGGACAAUGGGCGAAAGCCUGAUCCAGCAAUGCCGCGUGAGUGAUGAAGGCCUUAGGGUUGUAAAGCUCUUUUACCAGGGAUGAUAAUGACAGUACCUGGAGAAUAAGCUCCGGCUAACUCCGUGCCAGCAGCCGCGGUAAUACGGAGGGAGCUAGCGUUGUUCGGAAUUACUGGGCGUAAAGCGCGCGUAGGCGGCUCAUCAAGUCAGGGGUGAAAUCCCGGGGCUCAACCCCGGAACUGCCCUUGAAACUGGUAGGCUAGAAUCCUGGAGAGGCGAGUGGAAUUCCGAGUGUAGAG